rnacentral:tRNA from 1 species
UUUUUUAUAGCUUACAUAAAAUGCAUUAAAUUUUUAAUUUAAAGACGGAAGUAACUAUCCU